rnacentral:rRNA from 1 species
UACAGAGGUCUCAAGCGUUGUUCGGAUUCAUUGGGCGUAAAGGGUGCGUAGGCGGCGCGGUAAGUCGGGUGUGAAAUCUUGGAGCUUAACUCCGAAACUGCAUUCGAUACUGCCGUGCUUGAGGACUGGAGAGGAGACUGGAAUUUACGGUGUAGCGGUGAAAUGCGUAGAUAUCGUAAGGAACACCGAUGGCGAAGGCAGCCCCCUGGGCCGACAUUGACGCUCAGGCACGAAAGCGUGGGGAGCAAACAGG